rnacentral:rRNA from 1 species
CUUGCACCCCAUAAGAGGUCCAGCCUGCCCAGUGAAAUAUUCAACGGCCGCGGUAUCCUAACCGUGCGAAGGUAGCGUAAUCACUUGUUCUCUAAAUCAGGACUAGUAUGAACGGCACCACGAGGGUUAUACUGUCUCCUUUUUCCAAUUAGUGAACUUAAUCUUCCCGUGAAGAAGCCGGAAUAAUCCUAUAAGACGAGAAGACCCUUUGGAGCUUUAAACAUCUUAGCACUUGCAUCACUAUCUUUAUAUUUCCGAAUAUUAUAAUUCCCGCAUGAUGACUAUAAGUUUUAGGUUGGGGUGACCGCGGAGUAAAAUAAACCCUCCACACUGUAAGAAUCUCUCAAAUCUUAACUAAGAGCUACACCUCUAAGUAUCAGUAUACUGACAUCUAUUGACCCAAUAUAUUUGAUCAACGAAC